UCUAUUUAAAAAAAAAAAAAAAAAAUCAGGAGCAUCUCUCUGAGAAACCCUUUUAAACAAAAUCAAAACAGGACCAGAGAACCUCAGACCGACCCUAACAUCCCUGCUGUGAGGCCCGCGGGCUGUGGAAUCACGCACGUCACCUGGCCCCAGCAGGGCGGCCAGCUGAGGGGUUCUUUUUAUUUUAUUUUCCUUUAUUUUUUGAAGUUGAGGCUGAAUCUGGGCUUCAGUGCUUUGCCAACGUCUCCACUGACAGGAACCAGCAAACUUCAGGACUCAAAUGAGCGUCUUAAUUUAUUGAUGCAAAACAGGUCUGCUUGUCGCCCCCAAUUCUCGGCGCGCUCGGUUCCCCACGCCCCCAGCUUCGGUCCCUCCAUUCGAUCUCAGGAAAGCGUCGUAAAUUCCCAAAGCACCCUCCUCCCCACAAAGAUUGAUCACUUCAGAGAGAAACAUGUUUAUUUUGUACUUGCUAAACAAAUUCACAACUUGAGUCACUGGGUUGGUUUCUUGGCCAGGUUGCCCCGUUACCUAGCAGGUCAAAAAGUGGAACAUUGAGACAAUGGACAAAUAAUUAAGACAUGGUACUUAAGAUAUCUUUCUGAACAACUUGUGCCCACCCACUCUGCACACUCUAUCAUGAUCCACUGCCAGUCUUCCUGGAUGUUUGGGUGUUGACAAGCAUCAGAGAAAACAGUGAAGGAGCUGAGCCUAGGUCACACAGGAAUUCUAGAGAUGGCCACCGGAAGUGGGGAAGGAGAUAAAGCCAAAUGCCCCACUAAUUCUGACCACCUUGCAAACGCUUGUGGUUUUUCACAGAAGAAUCAGAGAAGACUAUCAGGAUGAAUUCUGAGCAUCUUCACCUGGAUUUUCAUGGAUGUGAAGAUGUAAGUGGGGAGUGAUUAAGAUUCAAGGAGCUAAUACUUACUGACUUCAUACUAUUUGCCAGGCUCUGGCUACAUCCUUUACCUAUUUCAUUAAAUCCUCAAAGUAUCUUGUGAGAGAGAGAGCACAAGCAGGGGGAGCCACAGAGGGAGAAGGAGAAGCAGGCUCCCCGCUGAGCAGGGACCCUGAUACGGGGGCUCCAUCCCAGGACCGGGGAUCAUGACCUGAGCUGAAGGAAGAAAGCUUCACAUGUGAGAUAAAUGCACUCAAAGACUCCUCACAAGUAGCUCUUUGGAGCUUCAGAUGUGAAAUGGAUCAUUCCUCAAUCUGUAAUAGACCCUUCUGUGAAGCUCUUCAAUCAAACCUGAGAAUUCAAGGCAUUUUGUAGCAUCCUAAACAGAAGGAUAUUGAAGGGAGCUGAUUCUGCUUUGAUCCUUGUGCUUGUUGUCAAAGCGCUUGGGAUUGAAGAGACUGUUGGCUACAAUUGACUGUGACAAUUAGGAGAUGAUCAGAGCCCUAGAGUGGAGCACUUAAAGGGUUUGCAUUUAAAACACUCUUGGAGCACUAAUUGUAUAAAAUUCUGGUAACUGCACAUUCUCUUUUUAGAGAGGUAAUGAGCGAAUGAAUGAAAAGGCAGGGAUUAUUUGCCAUUCUAAGAGCUGGGAUUGUCAGAACAUUUCUACUUGACUGAAAUUGUUUUGGAAGAUACCAAGAACCAGUGGUCUCACUGGAGUGUUAUCAGCUACAUUGGAGGGAACAAGAGAGAAUGAUAAAGAAGGUAAAAGGAAGCUGAGUGGUUGAGUCCUAUUUCUUGGAUAAACUAAGAUUUGGCCUCCUUUCGCCUGGCUGUGAGCAGAAAGCCCUUGAUUUUAUCGAUUUUGUGAAGCAUGGCUCCAAGGGGCACUCGAGAGCAUGCGGCUGGCACCACAAGCUACAAGAAGCAAGGGGUAGACUAACUAUUCUUGAGGUCGCCAACUUUCCUGAGCAAUGGAAAGUCAUGGUGGUACAUGUGAAUGGUUUAAAUAGGUAGCUCUCAAAUUUUAGCAUGCAUCAGAAUCAUCUGGAGAACCUUUAAAGCACAGAUUGCUUGGGCCCAUCCUCAGAGUUUCUGUUAGAGGGUCAGAGGCAGAGACUGCGAAUUAGCAUUUUUAAUAAGCUCCCUGGUAAUGUAGAUACCACUGGUUGGGGGACCACACUCUGUGAUCCAUUAGAAUUGCCUUGGUUCCAUGUAUGUCUUUUAUAAUAAUCAUAUCAAACUACAUAUUCAAAUCACUAUAAGUAAGCUCCAUUCCAAUCCCCAAGCCCCUAACCCUUCAAAUAAUAGAUGGGUGGGGAGUUAAGUAAAGCUUUUGAAAGUGACCAGUGGAGAGUCAUGGAAAUGAAGUCCACACUCAGAGGGACUGCUCUUUUUGAGAACCUGGCUGGCUUAUUUUGAAAUAAGCUGAAUUCUAGUACUUGUGGCAGGGACUAUGAAACACAAGAUCCUCUGAUGACAAAAAUGAUGACAACCUACCCCCCAGUUGAUCAUCUUCACUUGUAAGUAUACCAUGUGGAAUUGGAUGGACUCAGAGAAGAAGUGAAGAAGGAUCCUGCAGGACAAAGUGGAAGGUCCAGAUGCCAGGUAGCUGCAUGUCCCCUCUCACUCUGCAGUAGACUCCAGAAAUAGACUCCAGUAACAAGACGGACAUAGUUUCUGCUUUCAUGGGGCUUACUUCUUGGUGUGGGUGGGAGGAAGUGGAGGGAGGAAGAGAGAAUGGGGGAGCAAACGAUGGGAGGGAAGAAGAGAGACAGAACAUGAGCAAAUAAAUAAUCCAGAAAAAUAUCACAUAGCAUAAGUAAAGUGUGGAGAAAUAGAACAGUGAUUUGAAACCAAGAGACAGGUUACAGAGUGGCUAUUUUGGAUUGGGUGUUCAGGAAGGUCACUCUGGAUGACAUUUAAGCUGUGAUUUGAAUGACAAGAAGGAGUCAGCCAUGUGAAAGAUCAAGGGCAAAGAGCAUUUCAAGCAGAGGGAGCAGCUAGUGCAAAUGCCUCAAGGUGGGAGUGAGCUUGGCAAAUUCAAGGAAUGAAAGAUCAGUGUGGCUGGAUCAUCCUGGGACAGAGUGUGAGUGAUACCAGAUGAGGUUGAAGGACAGGCUGGGGCCACUCGAAAGUCAUUGAUGGGAUUUAAUUGUAGGUGUGACAGAAAAAACUAUUGGCUAGUAGUGUUCUGAUGUGAUUGGUAUUUUACUGCUGCAGCGGACAGAACACCCCACGGGACAGGGGACAAAGUAGAAAGAGGUGACUAGUUGGGAAUCUAUGUUAGUAGUACCUGAGAAAGGUGAUGGUGGUACUGAGUAGGUGUUGUGAGUUGGAAAAUAGUCAGAUUCUGGAGAAAUGUGGUCGAUUAAGCAUUACUGAUUGUUUGAAUAUGUGUGGGGAAUGUACAUUAGGGAAACAGAGGCAACGAGAAUUACCUCCAAGCUCCUUGCUAUUCAGUAAUGUGAUUUGAGGACCAGCAACAUCACAUCAUUUGAAACUUGUUAUAAAUGCAGAGUCAUAGGCUAUAACUCAGACUUACUGAAUUAGAAGACCACCAGGUGAUUCAUAUAUGCAUUAAAGUUUGAGAAGCCCUGUGCUAGAUUAUUGUUUCAAUCUUUAGGGAGAUUAGUGCUACUUAUGGAGAUGGAGAUUCCUGGGGCAGGAAUCAGUUGGGAUCGGGAAGAGGGAACCAUACUUUCUCUUUUAUGUGUGUGAAUUUUGAAAGAUUCAUUUGGCAUACAAAUGAAGACAUCAAGUAACAGUUGGUUAUGUAAGUCUGGAUUUCUGGGGAAUAGUCAGGGCUAGAGAUAAAGAUGUUGGAUUCAUUAGCAUUUGGGUGGUGCUCACUAUCCAAUGAAUGAAUGGAUGAACUCACUAGUGAGAGUGCGUUGAUAGAGGAGAGGGCUAGGAAGGAGCGGAGCACUAUAAAGUCUAGAAGCCUACACUUUUUAAAGAGGAAGACACAGCAAAGGAGACUAAACAGAGGAAUGCCAUGAGAGUAUGGUGUCAUGGAAGCCAAGAGCAGAAAGUGUUUUAAGAAAAAGCAGUCAAUUGCACCAAAUAGUGCUGAGAGGUUGAGGGAGAGAACACAGAAAACAGCACUGAAUUUGGCAACAUGGAGGUCAGUGGGGACUUUGGCCAAGGCAGUAUCAGCAUGGUGGGAAUUGAUACCUUUGGGGUACACAGAGGAGAGAAAUUGAGGUGAGUGAGUCCAGACAAUGCUUACAGAUGAGGUGUUUUUUUAAAGAUUUUAUUUAUUUAUUUGAGAAAGAAAGAGAAGAUGCGUGUGAGUAAGAGAGAGCACACAAGCAGGGGGAGGGGCAGAGGGAGAGGGAGAAACAGACUCUGUGCUGAAUAGGGAGCCCGAUGUGGGGCUUGAUCCCAGGACCCUGGGAUCAUGACCCCAGCCAAAGGCAGAUGCUUAACAGACUAAGCCUCCCAGGAACCCCUACAGAUGAGUUUUUUUUUUUUUUUUCCAAGCUUCUGGGAGAUAAUAUAGUUGUGUUUAUUUCAUUUGUAUUCAGAAACCAAUAAUCAUUCUUGGUUUCUCUUUCUACCAUAGCCAAACUCCUAACUCUAUUCUAGAUGCAUGGAGUACAAAGUACAAAACAUCCUACCUAUUACCUUUAAGAAACUCAUAACCUAGUGAGAUAGAGAUGCACACAAAUAAUACAAUGUUCUGAUAAUUCUGCAUUAGAAUUAUUGGGGUUUAUGGGCUAGGAAGAGAGUUCAUAUUUUUGCUUGCAUAAUGCUAGGCACAUUGCAUGUGUUAUUUGAUUUAACCCUUACUACAUUCCUUUGAGGUUAUCCCCAUUUUACCAAUGGGGAAUGGAUAUUCAAAGAUAUACAGGACUUGCUUUUGUGUCAGAACUAGUAAAUGGCGAAGCUCAAAUUUGAACUCAGGUCUGCUGACCCCAGUGCUGUAUUCUUUAUAGCACCACGUUAGUUUGCAUGGUGGAAGAGGGAACAAAUAAAAAUUAUGCUUAGUAAACCGUGAGUGAUCCUUCACAAAUGGCAAUACAAGGAUUCCUUAAUACUGUAGCGUAGCACCUUAUACAGUGUUUAGGGAUAAAAUUCCAAUGGUGAAAAUUUUUCAAAAAAUUCCAUUAUAUCACUCAUAUGUCCCUGGGGAAUGUUCACACUAUGACUGCCACUUAGGUGUUGGGAUCAAAUGAGGCAAAUAUCAGAUUGUGUCUCACUUCUCAUUCAGAGAAACACAAUUAUUGAGGGGACUCACCUAUAAUACUGUUAUUAUUAUUGGCUCUGUACAUAUGGUUUUAUUAAUAUAAGUUAAAUAUAUGUGUCAAUUUUAUACCUCAAUAAAAGAUUAAAAAUUCACAUAACAUGCAAAUCUAAUAAGAGUUAAUUUUCUUUUUUUGAGAGAGAGAGCAUGAGCAGGGGGGACGGGUGGAGGGAGAGGGAGAAUCUUUUUUUUUUUUAAGAUGUAUCUUUUUAUUUUAGAGAAAGAGAGAGAGAGCAUGAGGGGCAAAGGGAGGAGAGAGAAUCCCAAGCAGACUCUGUGCUGAGUGCAGAGCCCAAUGCAGGGCUCAAUCUCAUAAGCUUGAGAUCAUGACCUGAGCUGAAACCAAGAGCCGGACAUGUAACCAACUGUACCAUCCAGGUGCCCCAAAUAAUAAGAGUUAAUAUUAACUGAAAACUUACUAAAUAUGGUCAGUGUACUAGGAAUAUUACAUGCACAGUAUUAUUCAAAUUAAUCCACAUACUAACCCUGUGGGGUAGGUAUUUUUAUGCUACCUGAAGGGAAGACUGAGUUUCCUAAGGUCACAGAGCUAAGUUGCUUUCCUAGCCCCAAAUAAUUCCCAUGUGAGUAUGCCUUCCACUUUGCACAUGGUUUUCCUGGCUUACAAUCUUCUGCGCCAGCGAAACCCAUCCUUACUGCUAGUUAACCCACAGGGCUUCCUAAUCAUGUGGCUCGCCCAUUUCUCACCAGCAGUAGCUUUUCCCUUUAUCUGCAUCUCAUGUGUUCACUUCUUUCUUUACUGAGGCUCCAUAAGACUCACUUUUCCUCUUAAGUCCCUGCUGGAGCUCAUUACCGUCUAUGGAUCAGUUAGGGAGUUUGCAUGACUGAGUCUGUAAGUAGGAAACAAACUUCUUCUGAAGUCAGAAACUAUUUAGGACCCUGGGACCUGAUUUAAUGUAAACACAAUAAACACAUUCCUGUCAGAGUAAAAAUCAGUUAUUCAAAAUUUUCAGAGCAACUGUUUUAAAAGUUUAGAUGUUUGCAAGUACCAUCUAAAAGGUUCAAUAAAAAUACUACUUAGCUCAAUUCAGAUAUAAUUUGAUAUUUUUAUUAACUAAGCCCCCUUUUGGAGAUUAUGUACAACUUUUGUUCUUCCAGUCCUCUGCAAUGCCUCCCCGGAAUCGUGCCCUAUUUCUGUAGCUAGCAAAUGGGCAUUUGCACUGGUGCCUACUUGGAUAAUGCAAACCUGAAUUUUAGGGUUCUACCUAAGGGCGUUUCCCCAGUCCUCUUUGACUCUGGCCUGGUUUUGGAUGCCAAUUCUCUGUUUCUGGAAAAUGCCCUGACCAUUGGGAGUGACUAUUGUCUCUCACCUUUCUUUCUUGGUGGAAAAGAGCAGGCGGUGAUGUGACUUAAUUCACUUCUUUCAAGAUCAAAGUACAAAAGAUGAGGGAAUCAACAACGAGGAGGGAAACUGGAACUUGGUGGACUGUCCGGAAUGACUCUCGAACCUUUAUUUUUUCACUCUCUUGUAUUUGAAGCUAGAAGAAGGUAGAGAUGAUGGUUACAUAUGGGAAUCCAUCUAGUGAGAUUUGGCUUGGAAAUUAAUUCUGACACAUUGUUUUAGACCAGAUAAGCUAGGUAAUAUUAUAGCAACAAACAACACUACAAUAUCAAUGGUUAACCAAAAUUUUAGUAUUAUUUUCAGUCAUGCAAACCUUCUGCGGGCCCAGACAUCUCUCCAGGUGUCCUCCAGGUGGAAACUGAACAUUCUGGGCUGUUUCUACCUCAUGACACUUUUCUCUCAACAUGGGGCUUUAGGGUUUGUCUAAACAGAGGAAGAGAACAUUAGGGAUUAUGCAUUGGCUCUUAAGUACUUCCUCCCCAAAGUGACCUCCGUGUCCCAAUCCACUGGCCAGAAUUAGUUAUAGUCCCAGCUCAACUGCAAAAGGGGGUAAGAAACUUAGUUUUCUGUGUAUCUAGGAAUGGUUGGAAAACCAAAGUGGGCACUGGCAAUGUCUGUUACAGACACCUGUGGGAAAUGUCCCUCCAAGCCUCAUAUUCUUUGACAUUCAGGUGCUUAGGGCACAUGGGGUAUGGCCUGAGGCGAGAGGUGUGUAGGCAGAGGGGCGAGAAAUUUGUCCUAUUUUGAAGACAACUGAUGUCUUCAUCCCUAAGCCUGAAUGACGAACUUCCAAAAAUUUUUCUUGUGUGCCAUCUUGGUACAGAGACCAUUAAAGAAAAACAGACUAAUCUCCUUAUAGCCACGAGUAAAUAAAUACACUUUUACAAGAUAUUUUAUAAGGUGGUCAAGGACUUUGAAUUAAGGGCCUAGAUCUAGAUCCUCCUAGGUACAAAAUAGGCAAAUGUGGAUUUAUGUAUUUUAAAUUCUAUUUCUUCCAAGGUUUGUCAUAGGAUUAAAAUUUAAAAUAGAGUCCACACAGCAAUGAUGAAUCAGAAAGGGAAUGAAGAAAGCUCAGACGUAUACACAAAGGAUAAGCUAUAAAGCUGUGAGCCUCCUCUGAAGGGCAGGAAUGGGAUCUUUCAUUUAACACAUCUUAGUUUGUUAUCCUGGGAGCAUGUUUGAUACCAGCUUCUCAUUAUGGGAAUAGUGAUCAGGCUCCACUGCCUUACAAACAUCGUAUAUAUGUGUAUACAAUCUCACCUCUAAAAUUUCAAGGUAAUAGAAAGUAAUCUAAUUAUGUGGAUAAUUAAAAACAACCAAGUGCAAGUUUAAAACUUGUACUUUUAUGACUGCAUAGGAGGCUAUCAAAAUGACAGGGUGUCUGGAUGUGAUCGUUGCACGCACUCAGAUUAAAUGAGUGCAUUAGUUGAUUGUUUCUGGUAUGAAGAUAAGCAGAGAAAAGUAUAAUAAUGUUGGCAUUUAAGUGGACCUAAUUAGGCUUCAAGUUUAACACUCCAUUAAGAUGAAUGGGAAAGGGUCACCCCCGUUCAAGCUGUGGCAUUGUCUUAGUGUGUCUGGAUUUUGCCUCUGAAGACAACAGUCUGUCAGCAUAUGUUCUCACAGUUACCCCUGGAAAGCAGACUGGAAAUUUAAUUCUUUUAAAAUUAAAUCUCAGAUUCUGGAGGCCAUAGUGGAGUCCAUGGGGAGACCUUAAAUCUUCUAGUUCUGCAGCUGUAUUAGUCAAAAACAACAACAGUAAUGAUAAUACUUUCCCUUGUCUAUAGGAACUUUCCUGUGCAGACUUCAGUGUUCCCUGAAUAUGAUCUGGUGAAACUAACAACCUUCAGUUUACCACUGAAGGACCCUGUCCAUAGAAGGAAUGAGUGACUUGGGUAAAUUUACAGAGCAUGUCACUGGUAAAGCCAGAAAUAAAAUGGAGGGACUGCUCAGUUUUGUUGCAAUAGUUUGUCAUCCAUCAGGGAAAGGGAAUAAGAAAUAAUGAUCUCAUGCUAAACUGAGUGCACAUGCAUGUGAAAGAAAACCCAGGAAUCAAAGAGCAGCCCAGCACAACAGACCUGUUUAUAGGCGAGUCUUACCAUCCUGCCAUAUGGAAAUUUGGCUCAGUGAUAGGUGAGUAGGAGAAACCUGUAGUUAUGACAAUGGCCAACCCAAAGUGUAUGGAUGUGGUCUGAAACUUAGGCUACUCUGGAGCACAUUCACGAUCAUCAACCCAAAGAGCCACAGGGUUACCCUGUGCUUUUCACUGACUGGAUUUGGAAAUUAGAUGUGUGGAUAUUGCAUAAGAAGAAGGCACGUAUGGUUUGAGUUGAGUGGUUGGGUAAUGGUUGUCAUGAUUUUCUGAUUCUUUGGAAGGUGGUAUGGCUACAUCUCCACUGUAAUCUCAGGACUGGCAAUUUAUAAUUCUGGUUAUGCUAUAGUUUCCGUUCAUGUCACUGGACAAUUUUUCUUGCUAAAAUUUAGUUGCUGCUUUUUAAAAUUAGUGAGAUGACGUAUAGCCUGCUUAUCCAAAUUCUUUGUUUUGUGGCUGUGUUCUUCAGUAAAAUUGUAAGAAGGAAGUUUUGGUAUACAACUGGUAGACCUAUUACUAUGUCCAGCUCUUUUCUAAAUGUGAAAUUAUUAUAAAUUUUGGAAUUGUUUAAAUGGGUCCAAUUGUAAUAAAAUAAUGGCAGUAUGUUUUUAUUAAUCAUUGAUCUUAGGCUUUUGGAGUUGGAUGGAAGGAAAUGUGGUUCUUAGAGCCAAAUGCUUACUAAUGCUGAGAUUCAUUAUUUCAGAUCCCUGAUUGAUGAUAUGCUUUAGCUUGAACAUUUCUAAUAAUGGAGAGUUGAGAAUGGCAUGAUCAUUCCCAAAAAUGUUGACCAUCUUGAAUUAUUAGUUCUUCUCACUCUGUCUUGUAAUAUUCUAUACUUAUUGAUACUAAUCUUGACUCUGAGAAUACAUCUGCUAUUUGAUAGCUUUCAGAUACCUGAAGCAAGUGAUCAUGUUAAUCCCUUAGUUUUCUCUUUUUCAUUCAUUAUAGGGCAUACAGAAGUUUUGAGAAACUUUGCUUCAAAGGUUUCCUUUUUUUUUUUAAAGAUUUUAUUUAUUUAUUUGAGAGAGAGAAUGAGAUAGAGAAAGAGAACAUGAGAGGGGGGAGGGUCCAGAGGGCGAAACAGGCUCCCCACUGAGCAGGGAGCCCGAUGCGGGACUCGAUCCCGGGACUCCAGGAUCAUGACCUGAGACAAAGGCAGUGGCUUAACCAACUGAGCCACCCGGGAGCCCUGCUUCAAAGGUUUCCCUCAAGCUUUAGUAUUAUGUGAGGAUUCAAACUAGCUUAAAAAUGCCUAUGGUGUAUCAUUAAUACUUGGUUAUUCUUGGGGCGCCUGAGUGGCUCAGUUGGUUAAGCAUCUGCCUUCAGGAUUGAGGGUCCUGGGAUGGAGCCUCACAUCGGGCUCCCUGCUCAGUGGGGAACCUGCUUCUCACUCUCCCUCUGCCUGCCACUCUCUCUCUGUCAAAUAAAAUAAAAUCUUUAAAAAAAUACUUGGUUAUUCUUACUCAUUGAGAACAGAUAAGUUAGCAUUUGGAAUGGAUUCACUUUCACAGUAUAUUUUAGCUUUUAUAUUGGUCUUGUUUUAGGGAAAAUGAAAUUCAUUUGGUCUAUCCUAAUUAAAAAAUUUAUUUGUAGUAAAAUUAUUUGUAAUAAAUUUGCCCCAAAAAGUAUCAUUUCCAAUAAUGCUUUGACAAGAUAAAAACAUGUAAAUGGAAAAAAGAAAUAAAAAAUCAAAAAAUAAGAUAGAACUGGGUAAAGUUCACCAUAUAAAAUAACAAUUAUGAUGUUAUUACAUACUUAUUUGUGGUGGGUCCAAAUUUGAUUCUGAACUUGCUAGCAGCCAAUUCAAAGAGAGAAAUAAGAUCAAUUAUGAGACUAAGAGCAUCUAAAAUGAUUCAGAGACAAUUGGAAGAAACUUGAUUCCUCAUGCUGAGUCCUGAGAACACUUUUUCCUGAGUUUGCAAAGAGAUGACUUUCUAUAUUGAAGUAAGACUAUCUUCAACAACAUUUAGGUAAUGAAUUCCACAACAGAUUUCAUAGGACUCUUUCAUGAUAAAGUGAUAAAAAUUCCCAAGUGCAAUUGCCUGGUACUUAGUAAGUGCUUAUAAUGGGUUAAACUGUCUCAGGCCCAGGCCCCCUGAUUUCCCCCACCCUCCCUCCCGCCCCCACCCUCCCUCCCGCCCCCCAAAGAAGUUGAAGUCCUAAUGCUCUGUACCUGGGAGGGUUACAUUAUUUGGAAAUAGGGUCUUUGCAGAUGUAAUCCAGAUAAAAAUCAGAUCAUACUGAACUAGGGUGGACCGUCAUCUGAUGUGACUGGUGUCUAUAGAAAGAGAAGAGACACAGACAGAGACAUAGAGGGAAUAUGGCCAUGUGAAGAUAGAAGCAGAGAUUGAAGUCAUGCUGCCACAUGCCAAGGAACACCUGGGGCUCUGAGGAGUUGGAAGAGACAAAGAAGCAUCCUCCCUUAGAGCUUUCAGAGGGAGUGUGGCCCUGCCAACACAUUGAUCUUGGAUUUCUAGCCUUCAGAACUGUGAGAGAAGACACUUCUAUUGUUUUAAGCCACUCGAUUUCUGAUACUUUGUUAUCCGGGCAGCCCUAGGAAACUGAUAUCGUGCUCAAUACAUAUUUAUCAAUGUUUGGAUGAAUUUUAUGGACCACUUGACUGAUAGGAAAGGGCUGCUCAGAAAUUUAGAGACUGCUGUGAUUGACGAAGAAAAAAAUGGAUAUACUCUCACUGGAUAUAUUUAUGUCCAUUUCUAUUUUUUACUAAAGUCAGCAUUUCUACAUAGAAGAUUUAUUUAUUGUGGGGUUAUAAUUAAUAAACCACGAUCAGGAGGUUUAAUGUAUAGAUUUGGCCACAACAGGUACCAUCUUAUUUCCUGUGACAUACAGCUCUUCUCAGAGCUCUGUGCAGCAUCUAGCAUAUAGUAGGUAGUCCAUAAAUGUUUACGGGAAUUCCAUGGUAAAUUCUAUUAUUACAUGAUUAAUAACGAGGGUAGAGGAAGGUCUUGUUCCCAAAUCCUAUUAUUAUAAAGGAGACGUAUUACACCUAUAUAUUUUAAUUAGCAGGGUCACAGGAAUCCUGUUAUCUACCCUUGUGAAUUUUACUAUGUAUGGGUGUUCCUGCUUCUUUUUCAUUAGUCCUUUUCUCAAAACACAUACCCAUGACUUCAAUCCUUAUCAUCUCCUACUAUCUUCAAGAAAUCAAAUAAAUCAAUGACUCCCUAAACACCGAGAGAAAGAGAACAUGAAAAAUGAGCCAACAGGAAAAGCAACGUCUUGAUUCUGGUUGGGACGCAGUCUACCAAAGUUGUUGCGAGGCCAGUUUCAAUCUCCUGAGCACUGGCUUCCCUCCUACUGCUCUAUCCUCAAGGCAGUCAAAUGUUAUGAUAAGAUAAAGGCAGCCACGAAUGGGUCAUAUGCCCACUACAAAUUAUGAAAGCUCACCAAACACAGAUGAAUAUCAUGCAUGAUGAGCUCAUUUGGAGAAAAAAGAUGUCACAUUCUUUUCAAUAACUUAAUAUUUUAUUUGGAAUGGUAAAGCUUUUGAGAAUCACUGAACUCCUAUGCAUAGUGGUACUUUCAACUUAAAAAGCAGAGAUGGAGUCUCACAAGGUUUCAGUGCCACAAUCCUCAUUCUGGACCUGAAAGGAAGACAUGAAAAAACCAAAAGAAACAAAUAAAACAAAAAACAAAACCAAAAAAUGUGGGGGGCAAUCUCUAGGGGAACCCAUGGAAACACGGACUGCUUGAAUGCUCCUGUGUUUGCAAAAAGUUCUGUUCUAUUCAUCGGUCCUAGGUUCAUCCCACCGGUGGUCCCACCCCUGUCAGAAAUAUAAUGGAGCACAAUCUCGAAACUGCCCUGCCCUUGCAACAUUCACAGGUUCUCUCUCCCCCUAAAUUUGAGCAGAGGCACUUUUCCUUUCUAAAGAGCAGCAUCUGGCCUCUUCGUGUGCUCAUUUGCAUGCCAAUACUGGAUUGCUCUCCCAGCGCACAGCUAUUUAAUAGUGGUGCUGGUGUCCGAGCUCUGGGAACAAACCAAAUGGUUUGGGUGUGCUUUUGUGUGCAGUGCGGGUCGUUGCUACAGUGUGCUUAUUAAGAAUAGUACACAUUCAUUAUAACAAGAUUGCUCUUUUGCUCAGGGGCCAUCACGGCCCAUUCUGUAAAUGAAUUAACAGUAGCAUGCAUUUGUGUAUUAUGGGCCCAGAAGAUGCAUUUGUUUAUUAAAUAAAUCUGCAACACAGAAAGUAUAGUUGAAAAAAAAAAAAACCUAGAAAAUAAAGUGCGCAUGUACAGUAGCUAUUUGUUGUUGUUGUUUUUGAAACCUCAACGUCUUGGCGAGUUUUCCUCCUUUGUUUCUUUUAAAUUACCAGACAUCACAGGCCACACUAUAGACUACCAACCAGUCUGCAAAAUUUGAUGUUAAUAAAAAAAAAAAAAGAAACCAAAUUUAA